CAGCCUGGCCUUGGACACUUCCCAGGAUGAGCCAUCCACAAUUUCCCUGGGUCCUGUGCCACUGCAGGAAUGUGCAGGCCAGGAGGGUGGGAUCCCCAUGCCAGGCACCAAGAUUUGGGGUGUGACUCUUGGUGUUGGGAGCUGAGGCUCAUCCAGGGACCUGGCAGUACCCUGACUCCAGUUUUCCCUCUGGCAGCAUCACGGUGAAGGACCUGAAGGCAAUGCUGCCCCAGGUCAACUACCGCGUUCCCAACAUGAGAUUCCUGCGGGAUAAACUUGUGGAAGUGGAAGCCAGGAAUGAGAUGACUUUCUCCCACUUCAUCCAGUUCUACAAAAACCUGAUGUUUGAUGCCCAGAAGUCGGUCAUUGAGCAGCUGGAGCUCUCCUUCCCCUUGCGGUGAGUUACCAGCUCUCAUCCCAAUCAAUAUUCCAAGAGCUGGAUCCAUAGGGUGGGAAAUACAGCCAGGCUGUGAGGUAGAGCAGAGGGUGGGAAUUGGGAUGGGAAAAGGGAUAAGAAUAUGGGUGCAGAAGGGAUGGGAGCUAUGAUGGGAGCUGGGAUGGAAGCAAGGAUAGGAGCAGGGAUGAGAGAUGGGAUGGCUGCCAGGGAUGUAGGGACAUGUCACCCUUCCCUCCUCCCAGUAUCGUCGCUGUACAUUCCAGCUGGUGCCAGCCUAUCCCAGUCACAGGGUGGAGGGACUGGUGGGAA